GAUCAUGUUGAAUUGAAUUUUGAGUAAUAGUAAUAGUUGAUUUAUUGUCACAAAAUAAUGAUAAACUUUCUUCUUUAAACAAUUUUAAUUCUUUCAUUAGUUUUUGUACCUACAAUAAUUCACAUAUCCCUUUGACCAUUGCUCUAUAUUCUACUUCAGCACUAUAACGGACAACUACACUCUGCUUUUUACUUUUCUAU
rnacentral:lncRNA from 1 species